rnacentral:rRNA from 1 species
GAUGAACGCUGGCGGCGUGCUUAACACAUGCAAGUCGAACGGGAAACCUUUUAUUGAAGCUUCGGCAGAUUUAGCUGGUUUCUAGUGGCGGACGGGUGAGUAACGCGUGGGUAACCUGCCUUAUACAGGGGGAUAACAGUCAGAAAUGGCUGCUAAUACCGCAUAAGCGCACAGAGCUGCAUGGCUCAGUGUGAAAAACUCCGGUGGUAUAAGAUGGACCCGCGUUGGAUUAGCUGGUUGGUGGGGUAACGGCCCACCAAGGCGACGAUCCAUAGCCGGCCUGAGAGGGUGAACGGCCACAUUGGGACUGAGACACGGCCCAGACUCCUACGGGAGGCAGCAGUGGGGAAUAGUGCACAAUGGGGGAAACCCUGAUGCAGCGACGCCGCGUGAAGGAAGAAGUAUCUCGGUAUGUAAACUUCUAUCAGCAGGGAAGAUAAUGACGGUACCUGACUAAGAAGCCCCGGCUAACUACGUG